ACAGCUACUUCAGUUACCAGCUUGGUUCCAUCAAUCCAAGAGUCCUGCUGCACCCAUCACCUACUGUCAGGACAGCAGUGAGCUGCUGCCUUAUUGCUGGUUACGUUAAUUAAGCAUCGUGACUCCCCACGAGACAGGCAGGUGACACCGAUCCCAACUGCGUGUCGUCAGGUGGUGGAAGUGCCAGACUGUCUUGCACACGAGACGAGGUCUCAGCGGGAAGUCACCCAACCUAUGGAAAGGUCUGCCCCACACGGGAGUCAACACACGCUUCAGCCGAAGCCACGACCUGGACAGCAAAGCCACCUCCGGAUGGCGAGGCAGAGGUGCCUGCGAGGGCACGGGAGGCCGCGGGGACAAGAGGAUGCUGCCGGGCGCUGCCGCGGCGCAAGCCCAGGGCAGCUGGGGCAGCGCCGCUCUGAACAGAUGCAGUGCACGUAGAGCAGAUGCACUGGAGAUGUUUUUUAAAAACACACAUGACAAGAGGAGGACGCGGCGGAGAGCCGCCYGGGCAGGCGCACCGCUGGAGCAACAGCUGCCGGGGGAGGCCGGGAUUAACUUCAUGUGACUUGCAAGAUUACUCAUGGAUGAUGUCCAUAUUUCUACUACMAAAAUGAGUGGUACAUCAAUGCAGCGUUCUGUGGGAAGCUCUCCUGGAAGGCUGCGGGGGAGGGCUCUGCUGAGCCUUUCAGCGCCGUUCGGAAGUGCCUGAGAAGCAGCCAACGUGAACAAGCACGGCUGGCACCAGAAGAGGGUCACAGAUGCUGCUCUGAACACGCCAUUGUGAGACAUCCCCGCGCAGUGUGGGCUCCAGCUGCCGCUGUAGCAAGGACGCGACCGCCACCUGCUGUCCCCAACCCAGCCAGGAGAGCCGAGAAGGGGCAGAAACCCACCCGCCCCUGCCCAUCGGCGGCUCCCAUGGGAUGGAGCCUUCAUUUCCCAACAGAAACUGCSUCACACCUAGCCUUGUUUUCAGUUCUUUUCUCUGAUUUAUCCCCUUGUUCCCCAGCCGAAGGGGCCAACUCCUAUCACCRGUUAUAUGAGCCGAGUGUGAUGAUCAGCCGGCAGUGACACCGCACGACAUCGUUCUGGGAAUGCUGCCUGCCAUGUGAGCUGGGGACAGAGAGGGACACCUUGCCAAAGCAGCUGUGCAGCCAUCCUAUGUGCAUGUCUGUAUGUCCGUGUGGCACUCACAGCUGCCCAGGAGCGCUCACUGGGGCUUUCCAUGCGCUUCUMACACCCAUUUCUCAGAGAUUACAUUCCACUGGGUCUCUUAGCUGCGAGCUCGGGUGAAAUGCAGACAGGGGGAUUGGUUGGGUCAGUGCCAGCACUGGAUGAUGGACCUGCUGGAAAAGGAUUCUGAACUGAGGCAGUUGUCUCUCAGUCCGUGUUUUCUCAUCUGGGAUGCUCUUACCAAUGUCUCAUGUUUCUCCAGUGAUUUAAAAUCAGCCUAAUCCUGUCAUACGCUGCUCUGUAGUCUGUUUUACAUGUGUUGUUUGCUUUCCUAUUAACUCUAGAAUAAUUGKGCACUUGGUUGCUGUUCAAUGUUUAAAUGCUAUUUUUUCCACAUUUAUUGCAAUGGUUUUUUGUUUUGUUUUGUUUUUCUUUGCCUUCUUUUCAGCAGCUUUGGGAAAGAGGUUUUUCUCAUAAAACACCUGUGACUACAUAUUACAGGGGGACUACUUUUGUCUAUUUCCCAUACACUUAUCCUUUGGGAUUUUUGACACAUUUAGCAACAGGUACUUUGAAGAUACUUUUGUUAACUAGUGAAUAAACUAAACAACUAAUUGGUUUGGGGUUUUUUUGGUAUUUUGUUCGGUU